GAAUCAAAACUUUCAACAACGGAUCUCUUGGUUCUGGCAUCGAUGAAGAACGCAGCGAAAUGCGAUAAGUAAUGUGAAUUGCAAAAUUCAGUGAACCAUCGAAUCUUUGAACGCACAUUGCGCCCGCCAGCACUCUGGCGGGCAUGCCUGUUCGAGCG
rnacentral:rRNA from 1 species